CCAAAUCCAAGCACUUCUCCAUGCCGCUCCAAGUUGUCUCCAAAUCCAAUUGCUCGAAGUCAUCUUCCUUUGGCACAGGGUAGCAUGCCCACUCCUUCAACUUCACUGGCCAGUGCACUAGGUACAUGUCCAAAUAUUCCAUCCCCAGCCUCCUGCAAACGCAUACAUUUAAAUUAAUCUUGUAAAUUUCAUCCAUUCUUACUUCUUACUUCUCUAAUAUAUAUGUAUACAUAUGCAUGCAUGCAUUAGCUUACUCUAAGGUUUUCUUCAGUGCAGAAACAGGAUCAUGGUGGUCGCUUCCCCAAAGCUUAGAUGUCACAAAGACCUCUUCUCUUUUUAUCUUUCCAUCCCUUAUCGCCUCUGUUAAAGCCUUUCCAACUGCAGGUUCAGAC
rnacentral:lncRNA from 1 species